GGCACAAUGAACAAACACCUUACCUGCAGAAAAAAGGAGGUGCGGCAAAGGUGCCUGGGUCUCAAGGGUAAGAACUCACACAGAUGCAGCAACACCUUGUUCCUGGUUUUGAACAUGAGGAGGAAGAUCUGGGAAAAACAAGCCAAUGAUCUAUGUUAUCUGCUGUAAUCCAAUUGGAAGGAAAUAGCAAUAAAUAUUAUUGGUCCCAGGAAUAAGAAAACAAGUGCAGAUGGGACCUUCAGAAAUCAUCUAGUCUGUCCCCUGCCCCACAGCAGCAGCCAGAUGGAUGUUGCUUCCAAAACAACAACUUUGUCCAACAUCCAGGUAUGUUAUUUUCAAUGAUGUAAGGUGAUUUGGGGGAUAAGCAGAAAACAAGGGAGAAUAUCUUUUUAGUUCUGGAAAAAGAA